rnacentral:rRNA from 1 species
GAUGUUCUAACGUUGGCCCCUGAAUCGGGGUUGCGGACAGUGCCUGGUGGGUAGUUUGACUGGGGCGGUCUCCUCCCAAAGAGUAACGGAGGAGCACGAAGGUUGGCUAAGUACGGUCGGACAUCGUACGGUUAGUGUAAUGGUAGAAGCCAGCUUAACUGCGAGACAGACACGUCGAGCAGGUACGAAAGUAGGUCAUAGUGAUCCGGUGGUUCUGAAUGGAAGGGCCAUCGCUCAACGGAUAAAAGGUACUCCGGGGAUAACAGGCUGAUACCGCCCAAGAGUUCAUAUCGACGGCGGUGUUUGGCACCUCGAUGUCGGCUCAUCACAUCCUGGGGCUGAAGUCGGUCCCAAGGGUAUGGCUGUUCGCCAUUUAAAGUGGUACGCGAGCUGGGUUUAGAACGUCGUGAGACAGUUCGGUCCCUAUCUGCCGUGGGCGUUUGAGAAUUGAGAGGGGCUGCUCCUAGUACGAGAGGACCGGAGUGGACGAACCGCUGGUGUUCGGGUUGUUUUGCCAAAGGCAUUGCCCGGUAGCUACGUUCGGAAUCGAUAACCGCUGAAAGCAUCUAAGCGGGAAGCGAGCCUCGAGAUGAGUUCUCACUUGGAGUUCGACUCCACUAAAGGGCCGUUGAAGACGACAACGUUGAUAGGCAGGAUGUGGAAGCGCUGCAAGGCGUUAAGCUAACCUGUACUAAUUACCCGUGAGGCUUAACCAUACAACGCCAAAGUGGUUU